AAGUCGUAGCAGCCGUUACGAAAUUUUCAAACAACGGAGAGCGGGAAGGAGAGUGCCCGCUUGCAGCGCCACCACAACCAUGACUUCGGCUUCUUUAUCGUCAGAAGAACUUCAUAAGCGAGAGGCUCGACUCGAAUUAUCAGACGAAGAGAGGAGGAAAUUCAAAGAUCACGAAGAUGAUGGGGAAACUGUCAGUGCUGGUCUCACGGAUAGCACAGCUUUUUUGAGAAGUUAAAUUGAUGCAAACUUAUCCAACAAGUCUGCAUCUUCAGCUGCGAGGCAAAACCAGCCACACCAUAUCCCACUGAAGAUUUUGGGAAUGUCUGACUGGACACAGGUCUUCAGUGAGAAGAAAAUCUUGGGAUGGAAAAUGGAACUGAAUUUUGCUGAGCAGCUGAGGUGGAGGAUGGUGUUCUUUGAAAAUGUUAAUGUUAAAUAAAUGCAGGGAUGUUAUGUCAAAAGUGGGGUGUGGGGGGUGGGAGUGGAAGGUUGUCUAGUUUUUUUAAGUACUGUAUCAUUUUAAUGUAAUUGUAUUUUAUGUACUGUAACAUUUUAGUGUAAUUGUAUUGUGAAAUUGCAGCAACUUGAGCUUUUUUUAAAGUAAUACUCUGAUCAUUUUUGAAGUCUUUAUUGUAAACUGGAAAGAUGUAUUUACACAAAGAAAUAUUUUACUGUAAACUGGAACAGUGUUUGUUCAACCACUUAUGUGUAUUUGAUAUGUAUUUACAGUUUUCUGAUAUUAAAGUGCCUUUUGAAUUCA